GCCCCUGCCCGUCCAAGUGUAUUUUUGUUUCUUUUGGAACGCAGUAUUCGUACAACCUUUGAGAUAAUCGCAAAAGAGGAAAAAAGGACUUUAUUUCGGAAUGGCGGAAGGCCCGGCUUCGCAGCAGAGCUGUCAGAACUGCCGUGAUCCCCGCGGCUCUGCCCACAGAAACGAAACCUACGUCUUCGCCUCCAUUCAGAUCAUCAGGAUAUUCUCAAACCUUCUCCUCCCCUCCCUUCACCGUUCAUCCGGCAGAUGACGAGCAGAAAGAGGAGGCUGGGGAGCCCUGUCCCAGGGUGGAGGGAGGGCCGCGGGUCCCCGGGUUCCCGGCCUGCUAAGCCGCUGCCCCCCGCCUACCCACCUGAUGCUCUUUCACCACUUCACUAAGGCAGGGAUACCGCUCCGAGAUCCAUCGGUAAAACUUGGGGACUCCCAUUUCGACGGUCAAAGCUAAUUCCAGUCAGGGCCAAACCGAAACCAAACGCCCCGCCAGGGCCUAAGCCGCUGCCUCCGGCCGUCGCUCCGCGGAUGACAACACACAGCCCGCCCGACCAUAGAGAGCACUCGCCGGGCCUAGAGCGGCCGUUUCGAGGCCGCAUCCCCGGGGCGGGGCUCUAAUCCCGGCUCUAACUCGCCGCAGCCGAGCUCCCUGGUGGUUACGUUUAAGAGCACGGCGGCGUGUUGAUGCGUUAAAUUUAGUUCUGGAAAUGCCGGUUGACAGAGCUGUGCUUUGUAAGUAGACGUGGGAGUGGUGUGAAAACCUCACGAACCUGCUGGAAGAGUUUUGGAACACUGGUAUUUGUCCUGAUUGCUUCUGUGUCCUGGGAUUACUAAUUUCAGUAUUUUUCAACACAGAUUUGGAAAGAUCUGGUGAUUUAUUUGGUUUAGUUUAUUUUGUUUGGGGAGGGGAAGGCUUUUUCCGGGGGAAUAUAACCCUAUAUCAAAACUUCUUUUAAAAACGUUUUCUUCCAAAUUAUUUGUUGGAAAAAAUGUCCUAAUCCCCCUCCACCCCCUCCCAGCUUCCUCUUUAAAUCAACAUUUGGCCCCCCUUGGAAAUAGUAUACUUUUCACAUUCCUGUCUCGGUUUUUCGUGUUUUCCCCCAUCACACUAAACCGUACCAAAAAGAAUAAUUCUAUCAAGCGAACUUAAGUAAAAUUGUUAUAAAGAAUUUUCCAUUUUUUGAAUGUAAUAACCUCAUUAUUUUGUAAAUAAUUGUGAAAUAUUUUAAAUCGUCAGCAAGAAAAUUUACAAAAAAUGAACCUUAAAAUACCUUUAAAAUCUUAUGAAAUUUUAAGUGUCUUUUAAGACCGCUAGAUUCUGUAUUCUGGUAAACUCAGUACGACAGGAUCUUUAAAAUUACAUUAUCGAGUUUCAUAUUCAUGCUCCUUGGUUUAUGUUUUUUUCCUAUUACAUUUUCAACCAUACAAAAAAGAGUUUUAUUAAGUGAACUUGAUGUGUGCUUUAUAUCUGUUUUAUUAGACUAGACUGUCAGUUCCUAGAGGGCAGGGGAGGUAGCUCUGUGCAGGAAUCUAGCAUAGUGCUUUGCCUACAGCAUUGAUUCAACGUAAAUUUAUGUUGUUCAAAUGAGUGCUUUUGCUAGCUAAGUACUUAAAAGAAAAUCAAUAAAAGUUAUAAAAUGAAA